ACGAGAUCAUGACCCGAGCUGAAGUCGGAUGCCCAACCGACUGAGCCACCCGGGUGCCCCAAGAGUAUAAUUUUGGAAGGAGAGUUGUGAUCGUCUGAUUCUGGCUUAGUUGGGCCCCCCGUGGCUUACAGCUGGGGUCUGCCAGGGACACUUCUCCUUAAAGGGGUCAUAGUGAAUGGGGGCUCCAUGAGAGGAGAAGAACCGAUCCAUGUGGGCAUCCCAAACCACGCUGCAAGGGAAACUGGGGGAGGCCUGUGAUUGGUUCUUGAUGAAGAGAGCUGAAGGGUCACUGGGCCGUUUGGGGGCACAUGCCCAGGCCAGGACACCAAGUGGUGCUGCCUCAGCAUGAGGGACCCCCUCCAGCAGAUCUCUUCGAGGGGAUGGAGUUUUGAUGACCACCCCAUUUGUAAGCAUCAGAGAGAAGCCUUGUCCAACCACGAGACUUGAUGGUUUUCAAAUGGACAAACCUGAUUUUAAUAAGUUUAAGUGAAAUCUGAUAAGUAGAUCAAGACGAAUCAAGCUCCUGUGUAGUUCUAAAGAGCUGCCUGGACCUACAGCAGUGGGGCGUCAACUCUCCCUCCGCCUCAGAGACUCGUCCCGUUUGAUACAUCCUUGCAGUCUUGACCCGCCUGUGGCCUGUCUGCCAAGGCAUUUCCUCCCGCCUCUGUUUCAACGUGUCCGCUUCCCUCUCAAGGAGGCGUUUUCUUGCUGGGAGCAGAUGAUUACCUAUUCAUAACAUUUGUUGGAAUUGGUACAGACAGAAUUCAGUACAUUUCUCUCUUUUGACUUUACCAUCAAAAGCCAGAGAUGGGGAGGGCAUCUGAACUGACCCAAGUUUUGGGAGAACAGUGUGGCAGCUCUUCCUUCCUGGCUGACACUGUGGAGGGAAGUCCAAGCAGACUCCAAGAAAUCCAACAAGCAGGGUAGAAUUAAAAACCCCGUCAUUCCAAGUUUCUGAUCUGGGGCCAGAAUAUACGCCAUUGAAACUGUGUGGGCAAAUGCUCCUGCUUUUGCUUCCUGCAAGAGACACAGAGGGGCAGGGCUGGUGCCCUGGCGAGGGCCAGGGCAAGUAGCUUAAGAACAACUCUGAAAGUGGUGUAGAUGUUUUCUUAAGUCUACAAGAAAAAGAAGGGGCAGGAGGAAAAGUACCUUGAGAUUAGCUGUUUACCUUCCCCCAACCUGUUGAAAACAGGAAGGCAGAAUUGCACAGUAGAAGGAGAUGUAAUGCCGAGUCACAUAACCGUUCCUCACAUUGACCCAUCGCUUAUCCUAAAGUCAAAGGCACAGACACCUCCCCUCCCCACCCUGCCCCAGGGUGGACAACCAGAUUUCACUUUACUGUGUAUGGCACUGUGGUUCUUGGAGGUUGCUGGAAUGGCUGCAAGAUACCCGGGUCUGCUUCUGCCAUCUGAAAGCAACACACCGUGCUUGCUUAUUAGCUACCUUUCUUGAUUAUUAAUGAUACCCUUUGGACAGAGACUCCCAGGAAGGUUCUGCUGACUUCAGCUGGCUUGGCCUGGCCGCCAGCGCAUGGACCAUAUCCAUCCCAUCUGAAGACUCUCACUAUUGGAGUCCCUUUUGAGGUUGACAUUUUGAGCUAGGUUUUCCAGCUGGGUCCCAAGCCCCGGGCUUGGCCAGCCAGUGAGUAGGACCACAGAAAUGGGGAUGUGGCCCCAGAAGGGGAUCCGACCCCGGCCCUGGGACAUGAGAAUGAAAUGGAGGGGCUGUGGGCCUUGCACGCACAUGUGCAUGCAUGCGUGCCUCUGUGUGUGUGUGUGUGUGUGUGUGUGUGUGUGUGUGUGUGUGUUAGGAUGGAUUGGACAAGGCAGGGAGAGGAAACAAAGGAAAGAUAAAUGGUGAAGAAGAACUUGGAAAAAAUUGAACUAGAUUUAUUCUGACAGUGUGUGGGCCUACAGCUGUAACAUUAUAAAUCACUUCCCUACAGAGGAAUUCACUUCCUGAGCCUUGCACAGCUUCGUGAGCCUGGCAUGCGUGUGAGAACAGAACCUAGCAAUCUGAGAAGGGAAAAAGACGGCUUGCACAACUGUGGCUUGAAACCACAACUGGUGAUUUUGUCAGCACAAGGGGCUCCUGGGACUCGGGCCCGGCGUGGCAGGGAGCUGAGACCGCUGAGGCAUUCACUCCCAGUACUUCCAGGAUGGGAUCUUAAAGAGCGGACUGAGAAAAGGGUUUUGUGGUGGCCACAUGGCCUUGAACUCUGGAUUAAAAAAGAAAGUAAAGGGAAUUUGGGAUCUGAGGAUGAGCCCAGGAUCAGAGCAUCCACAGAAGGUCUUUGUUCAGGUGAUCCUUUUCUAGAAAUGGGAUGUCCGACUGACCAGCACAGACCCGGGUUCUCUCUCCGAUCCUGGCUGCAAGAAUAUCCACAGCUCUAACGUGUUGGUGGGUACGUACCAUGAGCUCAGGAAUUGUGGUUGAUUUAAUAAAUGAAAAAUCAAAUCCUGGUACAACUGGGAAUUGCUCUGGUCCCCUGGGUCAACAUGACAUGUCCCCUCCUACAUGACGUCUUUCCCAGUUUUGUUCUGUAUUUUUUUUAAAUGAUAUUUACCUGCUAUCAUAACUCUCUUGCACUAUAUGUAGCUUUCCACAAGUUCAGCGUUUGUGACUUCUCAGCCUGUGGAGAGCAUAGUUCCAUGCCUUGUGUGUGCCUGGCCCAGAUCCAUGUUAAACUGACUUGAGUUUAUACGUAAGUGACCAUUCAUUAGGGAGUAACAUUUCCUUCUCCAGACAAAUGAAGGAAGAGGCUCUGACACUUGCCUGUGAUGUAUAAUUGCACCUGACUCAUUAACUGGACAUUGCAAUGCUGGGGAGACUGAAGCAAGGUUCAGCUACUUGUAAUGAGAAUGGAUCCACUAAGCCCUGUGAGAACGGCAGGUCUGUGGGCCACAGGGGGUCCACUUUGUGCUACUCAACGCUCAGCUCAGGAAGCAUCUCUCUACCUGCCUCCCAGUGUACCAUUGCUCAGAUGGUCAGGUGCAUUCGGCGAAUUUUCACCUCCCCCGCCAGCACUGUAAUGGCAGAUGCAGAGCAGACCUGGUCAGUUCCUCCAUUUGGGUCCUGGGUCGAUGCUGACUGUCCUUCAGAAGGUCUGUGCAGCUUUGCUGCCUGAGGACACCCUGUGUGCAGUGCCCUUUUCCCUAGGUGUCUUGGAAAGGAGGUUGUACAAAGACCCAGAGAGUAGAGGCUCUGAUUUGUGGUGUUCUCAAGGGCAAGCCUGCACUUUGACAGCUUCCAGGUGUUGAGAAUCAAGUUCUUCGGAGUCACCAUCUCUUGUCCUUUUCAACUAUGCAAGCCACAAUCCUGCCAUCUGGCCUUGGGGCAGAAUCGAAAGAGAACUCUGCAUGAAGACCCAAGGCAGACUACGACUCACAUUUAUAUUAAAUGAUGAAGAAACAGAAGCGCCAAGAACGUUAGUGAUUUGUCCAGGGAACCACAGAAGUAAAGCGAGGGUUGUAAUUCAAGCCUUCCAACUGAAGUUCGGUGAGCUUUUAUUUUUUCCCUUCCCACUGCUGAUUUUAUCGUGGAGACGAUACGAAAACAGCGAAGGCUGCUUUGAGAAGAAUCGCCCGUCACUGCAUUAGUAUAACUGUUGCCCGUUUCCUCCCCGAUCUGUCCUCAGUGCGUUUUCUUGGUCACAUGGCUUCCAUCCCAGUGUCCUUGCACUGUCCCCACUUACCUGCAAGGCUAGUAAAUUCUGUUGACUUUGGUAUUUCUGGUACAAAUAGCAAACCACCGGGGUCUGUGGGUCAGGAAUUCCCUUAUUAUCGAUACCAGUGGACGUUUAGAAAGACAAAGGCAGCCGUUUGCUCAAGAUCUAAAAAUCACUUUGACACUGUGUAACAGAAACCGCUGGGACGAGCACUUAACUCCCAAAACUACAUUUUGAGGUCAAUGCCAUGCUUUUGCUGGGGUGAAUGGAUGGGUGACUGUGCAGUGGGUGCAUUGCAGCAUAUGUCUGUUAACGGGCUUUUCUUUGGAUAGAGUAACGGAGGCGAAAACUUCACAGCUCCAUAUUGAGUGCCUGCCAGAUCGCUCUUUAGUUAUAAAUGCCCAGAGUAGGUGGGGCAGAUGGCUAUGGAGACACAGGCUUGAAGUCACAUGAUAAAUCAAUCAAGGGCCCAGAGACCAAAGUCCACUUUUCCUGAUCCCAGAGGCACUGUGUUAGGUCAGGUGCAUGGUGCUGCUUUCUAGAUGAGUGCACAGUCCGUGUGGGCCCCUCAGUGAGCAUGUCCCUCUCCUGGAUGGUGAACGAGACAGGAGCGAUGACCCACAACCAACAGAUGGAGUGUUUGGGGAGCACGUCCAGUAGGAGCAGGUCUCUUGGCUCCCAGCUUGGGACUUCAGGUCACAGUGACAACUGCGUGUGGAGGAAAAGGCGACCACAUCCUGCUCUCCUGUCCCUCGGACAAAAUUCCAGCUCGUGUUCCCCACCUCCCGGAUGAUCUGUCAACGGCUUUUCGGGAACCUGAAUGACCAUAGCGUCAGAGAGAAGAGCUUCCUGUUGGGACUGGAGGCGCAUCAGAGAGUCUGGGACUCCUGCGCCACUUAUGCCGGAGAGGAUGCGACUAGUGCCACAAGAAAAUGCCUCAGAUCCAACGAUGCUGACAAACUAAUUCCUUAAAAAAUAGAUGGUUUCCUCUUUGGGACAUAAGACAUCUUAGAUGCGGUGUCGAGUAGUAUUUUGGAUCUUUAUUUUUGUUUGUAAACUCUUCUCCCACAUAUGGUUUUCGGUCUACUUACAAAGAUCUUACGAUGCAGAAGAAAAAGCAGUUGUGAGAGUUAGAGGGGACAUAAAACAAAGGGUCAAAUCAGCGAUGCGGAAACCAGGAGAGGGCAAAUGCCUGCCUAUUUACCGACGGACGAGCACAAAGCAGCAGCCAUCAGUGGGCAUGUGACUCUCAAGGCGGAGGUCUCCUCGGCUCUGUUGGUGAGCUUGUUGGACACCCGCCUACAUUUGCCUACGGAAUUUUUUCAGAAACGACAGAAAUACUCCCACCUGUACCCUCACUGCUGUGAGUUGCCUCCAUUUCUCUUGUGUGCUCCCCGAUCCAUGGUCUCUUUUUCUUCCGUCAUACGUACUCCUGAUUGAGACCCACUGUGCUGUGGCUUCAAGCAAAGGGUCAUCAAUCUGAGACUCUUGCUUUGCCAUCUUUCCGGAGCUCUAGACUCCAAUUUCGAACCUGUUGCAGAUGCUUCCAGUUCUAGGCCCCACAAACACGUCCCGGGCAGAAUUGGGUUGUGUUGCCGCAUCUGUAUUUUCUAAGUUGGCGAAUGACAUCUUCUGUCUAGAAUGCCCCCCUCCCCUUCUUUCCCAGUUUGGAGAGUUACUAUUGACCUUUCCAGUCCUUCUCAAAGGUCACCAUCUCUCUGUUGCCCUCACCAAGUCAUCAGGAUGAAAUAGUUGUUCUCCCCUCUGUGUCCUUGGGUCCCCUGACCCCUCUUGUGGUCAUUGUGCCGUGUGCUGCCAUGAUCCUUUGUUUUUCUGUUUAUGUCUUAUUCUAGAACUUGCUUCCACUAAAUACGUAUGCCAGGAUCCAGCGCAGAGUUUAGUACAUAGGAAGCAGUCCCUAACUGCUUGCUGGUGAAUGCAGGAGUGGGUAAGGCGAACUCUUUUCCUGCAGCAGGAAAACAGUCACUGUUACGAAGUGGGAAGAGGCAAGCGCUCAGCUCAGGGGAGCAGAGCAGCACUGUGACUUCUCACGCUGUGGGGACAGGAAGGUCUGUGGGAGAAAGAUACAAAGAACUCCUACAGAGGUGAUAGUACGAAAAGCAAAGCAUGGUCUGGGUUUUGGUUUCUAAUCUCUGGGAAGAGCUACAGAAAACUGAAACUGUGCUCCAAAACUUAGCAGUCAACAUCAUCCACCCCUACUGGGAUAAAAGUUUGCCUGGGGCUGACUUGAUGCGUGGCUGUCUUCACCUCUGAAACAUCCCAGAAGCACUCGAAGCUGGUUGUGUCCUGGGAGAUGGCUCAAAGCAAGAUCUCCUUCAGCCUGGGAAACACCAGGGCUCGAUUAAGUUAAGCAUCGAUAGAUAGGUUACAACUGUAAAGGAAAAACUGAGAACUUUAUAUGAGUGAUUAAAUAUUAAA